UCGUUUUGAAACAAAAGGUCUUUUGAUAUAAGAUUAAAACUUCCAACUGAGCGGAAUAUUACGUAAUUCAAUAUCUCAAAAUGGCGACGGUUUAAGUUGAUGAUGACUUCUGUCCACCUAACGGAAAUUCCAGUUCUAGCAGUAUUGCUUUUCACUGACAGGGGGCAGCUUAUAAUUCAUAUAGAAAUUGCGUCUCCCCAUAUUAGUAAACCUUCCCAUAAUAGGCAACUUUCCUUUAUAUCCGCAAUCUCAGAAGUUUUAAUUUUUAUAUAUUUCGUUAUUUAUAUCCGAAUAAUGUAUUUUAAAACAAUUUACUCAAAGUUUUAAAAAUAACUUCUCGGAUUAUGAUUCAAUUAUUCUUCUGAUGCAGAUGUUGAAUCUAUGUAUAUAUGUAUAUAAAAUGCAAUGUUUGUCUGUUUGUGUGUUUCUUUGUCUGUCUUUUUGUCUGUUCUGCAUAGGGUCUCAUACGUUUGACUUAUCGAGCAGUCGAGACUUAAAUUUGUAGGUGAAUUCGUAUGAACUUUCCGGUACAGAGUAUCCAAAGUCAAAAUCUUCUCAAAUGUAGGGUACAUUUGGUCGUUGUUUCUGUUUGUUCCACUUAAGUAUAGCAUCAAAAGAUAGCAAACGAUGAUGUAACCUUUGUACUUAAAAUUUGUUAGAAUAAUGAAUAAUUGAAAUUUAUUAAAUUGUUUACACUAUAUACUUGUGGCAUAUUAAAUGUCAAAAGAACUUAAUGUACAAAAAAUAAAAUGAAAUUUUAUAUUUUAA
rnacentral:lncRNA from 1 species